UCAGAAGCUGGCGGCGUGCCUAAUACAUGCAAGUCGAGCGAGCUUGCCUAGAUGAAUUUGGUGCUUGCACCAAAUGAAACUAGAUACAAGCGAGCGGCGGACGGGUGAGUAACACGUGGGUAACCUGCCCAAGAGACUGGGAUAACACCUGGAAACAGAUGCUAAUACCGGAUAACAACACUAGACGCAUGUCUAGAGUUUAAAAGAUGGUUCUGCUAUCACUCUUGGAUGGACCUGCGGUGCAUUAGCUAGUUGGUAAGGUAACGGCUUACCAAGGCAAUGAUGCAUAGCCGAGUUGAGAGACUGAUCGGCCACAUUGGGACUGAGACACGGCCCAAACUCCUACGGGAGGCAGCAGUAGGGAAUCUUCCACAAUGGACGCAAGUCUGAUGGAGCAACGCCGCGUGAGUGAAGAAGGGUUUCGACUCGUAAAGCUCUGUUGGUAGUGAAGAAAGAUAGAGGUAGUAACUGGCCUUUAUUUGACGGUAAUUACUUAGAAAGUCACGGCUAACUACGUGCCAGCGCCCCGCGGUA
rnacentral:rRNA from 1 species